rnacentral:rRNA from 1 species
CCUACGGGAGGCAGCAGUGGGGAAUAUUGGGCAAUGGGCGCAAGCCUGACCCAGCAACGCCGCGUGAAGGAAGAAGGCUUUCGGGUUGUAAACUUCUUUUCUCAGGGACGAAGCCAGUGACGGUACCUGAGGCAUCAGCCACGGCUAACUACGUGCCAGCAGCCGCGGUAAUACGUAGGGGGCAAGCGUUAUCCGGAUUUACUGGGUGUAAUGGGCGUGUAGGCGGGACAGCAAGUCAGAUGUGAAAACCAUGGGCUCAACCUGUGGCCUGCAUUUGAAACUGGUUUUCUUGAGUACUGGAGAGGGAGAUGGAAUUCCUAGUGUAGCGGUGAAAUGCGUAGAUAUUAGGAGGAACACCAGUGGCGAAGGCGGUCUGCUGGACAGCAACUGACGCUGAGGCGCGAAAGCGUGGGGAGCAAACAGGAUUAGAUACCCGUGUAGUC